GACACACAUGCAUAGCAACGAAUCAGCAAAAAAUAAAUUGUCGAUGCAUGUACUCACCCAUAUUGGCUUUGUUUCAUUGGCCAGCUCCCAAUCCCAAUACUUCUCAGUUUUAGUUUUCUUUGUUUUCUUCUUCUCAUCCUCUGGUUUUGCUUCUUCUCCUUCUCUUGGUUCUUCCUCCUCUUCCACCUACCAAAAUUUUGAUUUAGCAAAGACUGUUUAAUUCAGUGCUGGCUUUACUAUACAAAUAAAGUAACUAAGGAAAAGAGGAAAAAAAAGUAAACUAAAAUCAUCACCCUAAGUAUUAACUCAUGAAAUGAAGAAAACAAUUCAUACAAAGAUUUAAGAGGAAGGCCUAAGAGCAAUACUUGAAAAGUUUUACCACUGCCGCCACCCCCCUAAAAAAAAAAUACUGAGAGCACAAUGUAGAUUCAAGUGAAACUACCAUCUACCAUAUAUGUUAUAUGCAGUCCCUCCAACAACCUUUAAAGGUGAAGAGAGAUGACAUUUAAUGUCAAUGUUCUCACCUCAACAGUCCUUGA
rnacentral:misc_RNA from 1 species